UUGAACGCUGGCGGCAUGCCUUACACAUGCAAGUCGAACGGUAACAGGUCUUCGGAUGCUGACGAGUGGCGAACGGGUGAGUAAUACAUCGGAACGUGCCCGAUCGUGGGGGAUAACGGAGCGAAAGCUUUGCUAAUACCGCAUACGAUCUACGGAUGAAAGCAGGGGACCGCAAGGCCUUGCGCGGACGGAGCGGCCGAUGGCAGAUUAGGUAGUUGGUGGGGUAAAGGCUCACCAAGGCGACGAUCCGUAGCGGGCCUGAGAGGACGACCCGCCACACUGGAACUGAGACACGGUCCAGACUCCUACGGGAGGCAGCAGUGGGGAAUUUUGGACAAUGGGGGCAACCCUGAUCCAGCCAUUCCGCGUGAGUGAAGAAGGCCUUCGGGUUGUAAAGCUCUUUCAGCAGGAGCGAAACGGUCGUUUUUAAUACAGACGGCUAAUGACGGUACCUGCAGAAGAAGCACCGGCUAACUACGU
rnacentral:rRNA from 1 species